CCAGGCUGGUCUUGAACUCAUGGAGAUCAGCCUGCCUCUGCCUCCCAAGUGCUGGGAUUAAAGUUGUGUACCACCACUACCACCUGGUGAAGCUUUCUUUUAAAACAUAAAUUUUUUUGAAAAUUGAGUUAUACUCAUAUAACUCAAAGUCUGGCACUGUGAGGUAGUGGUUCUGUGUUGGGUAGAUUCGAUUUUGCGCAGCUGUUGACUUGGUUUAGCACAGAUGAAGACUCCGCCCUCACAGCCGCCUAUCCAUUCCUCCCUGGUCUCCAUAGUCUUUGUGCUUCCCACCCCGUGAAUCUGCCUGUUCUUGGUACCUCAUGGAAGCGUAAUGCAACAUGUAUCUCCUCGUGUCUGCCUUCCCUCACAUGGCAUAAGUUCUUCAAGGUGUUGCAGAUGAUGUGCAUGAUAAAAUUUUAUUCCUCAUUGUGGCUGAAUAAUAUUCCACUCUAUUGACCUACCACGUUUUGUUAAUCCAUUCCGUUGGAGGUUUGGAGUGUUUCUGCUUAUUGCCUGUUGUAAACAAUGGUGUUAUGAACAUUUGUGUUCAAGUCUUUGUGUGAGUGUUUCCAUGGUUUGUGUACAUAGGAGAUACUUCCAGAUGAUGCAGUCGCUGGUACGUACUUGUUCUGAGGAGCUGCCAACUGUGUCCAGUGCUGUUCCAGUUGCCAUGCCAUUACUAAUGUCCAAGGGUCCCAGCUCUCCGUAUUCUCAGGAGCCCUGGUUACUGUCUGACCAGCUGGCCGUCCUGGUGGAUGUGAAGAGGCAGCAGAGGUGACCACGGCAAGCAACUUCAAUGCUCUGUCAGCCAGGAGCAUGUCUGCCUUGAGGCCUGCCUGUGGUGCUAGGCCUUUGUUUUUCAAGUAGGGGUGUGUGUGUGUGUGUGUGUGUAUACGCGCACACGCGCGUGUUUUACUGGACAUUAAACCCAUUUAAAAGUGUGAGCCGCCACAGCCGCCGCCACCACCUGGCUGAACCCAAGGCCUCUUGUGUGCCAGGCAAUCUUUCUGCUAAUGGACCAUAUCCCCAGAUAGUGUCUUUUAACAUAAUUAAUGUAUGUAUUGUGUGUAUAGAUGUGUGGAGACCAGUUUUUGUCCUCAACCACAAGAGUCCAGGGACCAAACUCAGGUGGCCAAGUUUUGAUAGGAAGUGUGUUUACCCACUGAGCCCCAUUGCUGGCCCAAAUCUAUGUUCUACAAGUCACGCUACUGCAAGAAUUAAAAAGUAACCGGAUUGGAGAGGAAGCAAACACGUGGCUUGCUCAGAGUUCAUGCUGCCGUGUCCCAGAGACCACAGAUCUUAGGCGGAGGAAAGGUAGCACCUGUGUGACUGACGGGUCCCCGUAAGGUGAACCAGCUGCAGCCUCCUGUGCCAUGUGCCAUGGUGGUCCUGGGAAGACAUCCACUUGUUUACUUGAUUGAUCAAAAAUCUUCAUUUCUAAAAACCAUGAUGGUGGAUUUAUUUAUUCAGUCAUGUACUUUGAUUUUUUGAAAGUUAAGAACAGCUUUAUUAGGAAAAUGGAGAUAAUUGUAUGCUGUUAGGAGCUGCUGGGUUGUAGAAGGAUCAAGUCCUGCCUUGAUGGGAGACUUGGCUUGUUUACACGCCUCCCAUUCUCUCUUCAGACAUCCCUUCUCCCGUCAUCUGGGCUCCACAUGAGACCCUGGGUCCCUGAAAAAGUGUUAUUCUAAUCCUCUGAAUGCUGGAGGAUUUCCGUAGCCUGCAGGGCCCUUAAGACUGAGCUGGACCAUCAUCAGGGUACCCUGUGCUCACUCCAGGAGGUAGGUGAGAGUGCCUCGGGGUGGUUGUGAGAUGCUGGAGCACCAGACCGCUGCAGCUGUAGGAUGGAUCUGUCUUUCUGCAAAUGGCAGCUUCCUGAGCUUAACCACUAUUCCAAAAAGAGCAACUUUGCAUCUUUUCAUAGUCAAACAUGCACCUUGACCCUGUAGACAAGAUGCUGAGUUAAUGUCCAAUACUUCAAAUGCGUUGUCUUCUGAGCAGCUGUUGAGUUGGCAUAAGGCUGUAAGUACAGGGUUGUCUCCUUAGAGGCACAGCUGCAUGGGGAUGUGGGGUGUGUGUACCAGCCAGUCUGUGCAUCAUCACAUUAAUGGUUUCGUUAGUAUUAACAAUAGCUCAUCUAUGAUUGCUAAACCUAGGCCAUUCCCAGGCCUAUGGUUUUGUUUGUUUGAGACAGGGUCCCACUAGUCAGCCCUAGCUGGCCUUCUCUGCUCCCUCAGUGCCAGAGCUAAAGGUAUGUGCCACUGUGUCCCACCAAACCUGGAGUUUUAUUUUGCUGACAUUGAAGGCUACGUGGACUUGAGGAGACUGCCAGGGAAGGUUGGGCUUUGGAUGUUAUUAGAGAUGAUUGGGAAGUCUGCUUUGGCACAGCCCAUAGGUGUUUCUCAGGUUGUUAGUGUUUCAGUUUUGUUUGGUUUCUAAGGGACAAAAAUCUCACUGUUACCCAACUGGUCUCAAGCGAUCUUCUUACUUUCGUCUCCAAGUAGCUGGGACUACAGGGUGCCACUGGCCCAUCUACAUUUCAUUUAUUUAUUUUUUGGUCUGUAUGUAUGUACAUAGGUGUUUGUAUGUGUGUCUGUGCACCACAUGCAUGCCAUGGCCAUGGAGGCCAGAGAGGGCAUCAGCUCUCCUGAGCCUGGAGUUACAAAUGGAAGUGAGCUGCCCUGUGGGUGCUGGGAUUUGAACCUGGGUCCUCUGGCUGAGCAGUUGAUGCUCUUAGCAGCUAAGCUACUUCUCCUCCAUCACCACUCCCUGUCUACAUUUCUUAAAUUCUCGGAGGCCUCUUCUCAACAAUGAAGUGGGGGCGCCUACAGUGUGCGGUGAGGAGCACAGUGCUGGGGCCAGGGGAGGAAUAACACCUGUGGGACUCAGCCGCCUUCUCUGCACCCACAGAGGCGCAGCACACGGUGUCCUGUGACACCAAGGUACCUGGCCCUCCUCUCGGGAGGCUGAGGUUCUCUGGAAGUCAUUGUCCUAGAGUUAUUGGACUACUCAGUAUUUCUAGCUCAUUACUUUGAAGACAUCCAGUUUGGCUUUUUCCAAGAAGCUUUAGAGGAAACAAGCAGCUCUGUCUGGUUUUUGUUUUGUUUUUGGUGCUGGGGAUGAAACCCAAGGCCUUGCCCACACAAGGCCGCUGCUCAGCUCUGUCCCCAGACCUCUGCUAACUCGGAGAGUUAGUUCACUGGGGUUGCAUUGAUUCUUCUCUUGUCUCCUUGGAUUUUGUAUUCUACGCUUAACCUAUUGAUGCCCAUCCAGGUCACACACUUCUAUCAUCAGAAAGGGGAGGUAGCAGUAGUGGAGUCUUGCUCUGGCUCUGGCCUUUGCUAAGGCCCUUCCUCAGCUGCUGAUGCUGGAGCAUCUCUGAGGAGGCCACUUGAAACCACCAGGGAGCAGGUGCUUGUGGCUUCCAGCAAAGAAAAACAGUGCACUGUUGGCCACGCUUCAAAUUUCAUCGGUGCCUUCCUCAGCGAGCCUCUUUCCAGACAGUGAGCAGACCUGUGGACACAAGCAAGGUGACUGACCCUGCCCUGAUUGUCACAGGACCAGGCCUCAGAUGGUGAUGGCACAAGCCAGGAGUGAAAUGACGGAGUAAAGGUGACAGUUGCCCUCUAGGUACAAAGGAAUGUAGGACAGCCAGGAGUGAGAACAGAGGCCUCCUCGGGCUUAGGAGUGCCUGCCACAGCCUCAGCCAUGAGGGUGACGACAGGUGGGCAGGAUGGCUGGGACCCCAGGCUCCUAAGGAUUUCUCCUCUAUAUUAAGAAAUAGAUUUGCUAUCUCUG